UACAGAGGUCUCAAGCGUUGUUCGGAUUCAUUGGGCGUAAAGGGUGUGUAGGUGGCGCCGUAAGUCGGGUGUGAAAUUUCGGAGCUUAACUCCGAAACUGCAUUCGACACUGCGGUGCUUGAGGACUGGAGAGGAGACUGGAAUUCAUGGUGUAGCAGUGAAAUGCGUAGAGAUCAUGAGGAAGACCAGUGGCGAAGGCGGGUCUCUGGACAGUUCCUGACACUGAGACACGAAGGCCAGGGGAGCAAACGGG
rnacentral:rRNA from 1 species